GAAAAUGGUUUUGAUUGCUCUUGGAGAGACUUUCCAGGACUUUCCAGACUAAUUCACUGGGGGGAAAAUGAAGGGCAUCCUUUAUCUGCCGUUGUUUUGAGCACAAGCAGUUCAGAAUUGUUCCCUUAAAGUCUAUGAGAUUUCACAGCAAAACAUUCAUUAGAAGAACAUCUGCAUAGAGCUUUCAUGUAAUUUGAAAGCUCAAGAUUGUCUCUUUGGCCUUGUUUUUGCCCUCAAACUGGAUUUUUAUUGCGGCAUUGUAUUGCGUCUUGAGGAAAUGGUGAUCAGGGAAUUCAGAGAUAGCCUUGCCUGGUGCUUCUUUAGCAUACGUGGUAAAUGUUCAAUGCAAGUUAAAGCUUCCCUGUUAUAGAUUUUUAUGCAUGUUUGGUUGACUUUCGAAACAGAAUGGG
rnacentral:misc_RNA from 1 species